rnacentral:rRNA from 1 species
UACGAAGGGGGCGAGCGUUGUUCGGAAUCAUUGGGCGUAAAGAGCGCGUAGGCGGCCCUGUAAGUCCGCUGUGAAAGUCAAGGGCUCAACCCUUGAAUGCCGGUGGAUACUGCAGGGCUAGAGUCCGGAAGAGGAGAAUGGAAUUCCCGGUGUAGCGGUGAAAUGCGCAGAUAUCGGGAAGAACACCCGUGGCGAAGGCGGUUCUCUGGGACGGUACUGACGCUGAGACGCGAAAGCGUGGGGAGCGAACACGG